CACAUUGCAGAGGCAGAGCGCCACUCGGGAGCCCGGCAAGCUGGAAGGGAGGGGGGCGUUACGGCCAACUUGGUCGUAUAAGCUUCCCAAAAAAGAAAAAAAAAAAUCAACGGGGAUAAACAUUACAGCCACUGCACUCAUUGUGCAUCGAUAUUGCGUUAAUCGGACAGAUGCAGCCGAUUAACCUCCGCCUGCCGCCCUUUAACACGUCCGAUUUGCCAUAAACUACAGGAAGUGCUUAAUGGUUUCUAUUUAACCGCUCUACGUUAAAGUUGCCAGGGCACUGUUGCAUUCAAGCGCUCCAGUUCGGAGACUCACCGGUGCUAUGUGGGAGCUCUGUCGAUGUGGAGAGACACCCAGUGCGGGGAAGCCGGCUGCCGCCGCUCCGCCGCUACGGGACAACACAAGGACCGUUCUGCACACUUUCGCGGCCAUCUCUGGAGUGAAACCUUGCCCGAGAAGACGAAUGCUGCGGGCGAGCCGAGCUUCCCGUAUUACAGUAACGUUAAAUGGAGGAUUCGUCUUCAUUUCAUAUGAAAACUGGGUCAGCAGAUGGAUUUAAUUCACUUCCUUGACUUAGGUGAUACCUGCACUUCUCAAAUAUCAAAAUUUGUGCCUUGGAUGGGGUCAAACUCAAAAUAUGUUAUUUGUCCACAGUCUUUAUUUGUACAUUUCAGCAGGACAGUAAAGUAUUUCCUGAACCCUGGGCACAAAUACCUGUUAUCUUUAGAUAAUAGGCUGUAUGAUAAGCAUCUUUGGGUUUUGAAAGACGCCAUAUAAGUCUAGCAUUUUAUUAUAAUUAUUAUUAUUAUUUAUGAAAAGCAAUUGAUAAACAGAGAAUUUCAAACAAAAGCUUGUAUGCCUUUGACUCCAUGGACCCACUUUAAAAGUGUUUGGUGUUGAUGGUCAGUGGUACUCCGUUGCUUUUAACCCUUGUUUGAAUUGUCUUGAGCAUUCGAUCUAAACAUGGCUGGGUCCCUGGCGUGGCUGAUGUUUGUUGUUACUGAUAAGACUGUGUGGGGUCCCAUGGCACCUUAAGAUAUGAGAGUUUUGCUGUCACCAAGGAGACAGCCUUCUGCACACAAAUACACAGAUGCUGCCGUGUGCUGUUCGCACCUUGAAAACGCACGGCAGUGAUAUGUAAGUGGUACAGGGAUGUAUAAGUGGUGUCAUGUCUAUAAUCUGGGUGGCAUGUUCUUAGCAAAUUUAGACUAAAACACUAAAACUGUGUAUACUGUGCACUUUUACGCAGCCUUUUUCAUGUUCUGCAUUCAGUGUAUUUUUGAAACACUGCAGUGUCCCUUUUGGACAACUGCAUAUGGAAUGCUCUAAUAUCAUUCGAUAUUUAGCUAAGUGAUUGGUAGUUUAGCUGAAUUUCCCAAAAUACAACUCUGCUCUAUAGAAACAUGACACACACAUUUUUGUCACAAGUUCAUUUAACGGUCUCAGUCAUUAAAACUGAUAUGAUUCAAUCUCUCCAGCAAAAUAAUCUGCCUAGCAAUAUAUGUACAUUUCACUUCAUACUCAUAGAUAAAAAACACAUAUUGUUUGUAUAAACAAAACGCCUGAAUAUCUCAAUUUCUGUAAAUCAGGACAGGGAUGCAAAUUGCUUGACUUUUCCUGGGUAGGAAACUAAUCAGUUCAUUUGUACAGGGUGGAGUCCUGAUUUUACAAUUGUGUCAUUGCACCCAGGUAACAAAACCACUAUCUCUAAAAGGCCAGAGUCCACUGCUUUCACACCUGUUACCUUCUCUCGACUGUGCCAGUUGAACUUCCCACUUCCUAUGCAGAGCUCAUACUUUUCACUCAGUUCUUGCAUGAUAUGUGUGUCCUGUCUCUGUGGAAGAGCGCUGGAUGUCAACCAAGUCCACAAAAUAAGAAAAUCACUGAUUAUAACUCAAACAUUUUCCAUUGAUAUACAUGUUUUUCCUGUGCCUGUAACUCAUUGUUGAACAAGUAAUUACGCGGAAUUUUCUCAGUACGUCUGAAAUUAGUAUUUUUCAGUUCAUAAUAGAUAUUUUGCACAACCCUAUGUAUAUAUGAUCACAGAACCUUAAACCUCUUUGUGUGCGCAAAUUUAGAUCACAUUCAAUUGUUUAUUGAGUGUACUGAAGUAAUUAACGUAUAUAAAGCACCAUGUAAAACGGCAUUUGCCAAGUCAGAUUUUUCAUGUUUGCAUAUAUACUUGACACUUUACGUUAUCAGAACUUUAGGCAAAACCGAAGAGCUAAAAAGGAACUUGAAAAAGUAAAUUAUGCAAAAAUGUUACAUGUCCUUUCUUUAGUGAACAGAGUUAUGCAACACCUAAUACACCCAAGUGAAAGAGUAUUCAAGCCCAGACACUUAGGAACUAGCUCCAUCGCAAUUACUGGCUAGCCGCAGUGAGUGAAACUGUUUCCUAUAGCUGUAGAUCAGUGCCACAAAGAACCAUGGGCUAAUGUCUCAGUCUCAAUGGGACGUAGAUAAACUGGUCCUGAAGAAAAUCUAGAUUCUUAUUUCAUAUAAACACUUAUCUAGUACAGGGUUGUGAUGAGCUUGGAGCUUGUCCCAAACAGCACAGGGAACAAUGCUGGAGACACCGCAGUGUCUCACACUAUGGGUCAUUUAGAGUCAUCACUUCACCUAACUGCAGGUGUUUGCACUAUAAGCACUGUUGUUCAGUUCUCUGUGACUUCCUGAACAAUUUUAUACCUUGUUUUCAGUAGAGGUGUCGGCAAGGUCACUGCUGACAGUGAAAUUCACUGAUACAGUAUCUAAGCCUUUUCCAUUUGGGGAGAGUGUGUCUCUCUUUCCUUGGAGCU